CGUCCACCAAUAGUUAACAGUUGCCUGAAGGAUAAUCCAGUUACCUUCAAUCAACUGCUGCACCUUUGAGAGCUGAAUAAAGACACCGAGCAAAGUAGAACUACAAACCAGCAGUCUGCUAGGUAAACUUCCACAGCAAAGCAAUGGCUGAACCAACAUUACCUUUAUACAGUCUCAAUGCCAAAGCAGUCAGCAGUGACGAACAGCAAGGAUGGCCGCACAUGUCACAGAGGAGUCUGCCUGGUACUUCUUAAGGACAUCUAAAAGGAACUGUCGGCCCUCUGCAUCCAACAGAUCCGGCUGUCCAUCUGUCAGUGCAACUAGAGCGGACAGGGCGGUCAACACAGCUUCCUUCUUCUCCAUACUCUUUGUGCAAUAGGAGAGGAUGACGGGAUGAUACAGCUGGGACAGCUUUCACUAUACAACUGAGGUCCACACCUGCAUCCACACAGAAGAUCAGGGUUAAUGCUUUGAAGAUAAGAAAAUAGAAGGUGAAAAAAGGAAAUGGCAGAAACCUCGAGCAGAACCAGACUCAUGUGGAACAGCCAUCUGUCGCGGCUGUGUCAGACUUGAAAAGUUGGACAAAGGGAGAUACAGAGAGAGGGAUGGACAGAAACAAACAUAGAGCAACAACAUCAACAACGAGGACAACAGUCGCAGUUGCGAAAAUAGGUUUAUGGUUACAAUGCAAAUAGUUAUGCUUCAAGUAUGUAGCAAACAACACUACCACACUUUCAAAUCAGCAAAACACAGGGGUGGACAGUAACAAAGUAAAUUUACUUGAGUACAGUACUACUUAAGUACAUUUUUUGAGUAUCUGUACUUUACUUGAGUAUUAUUUUUUGA